UUUAUUAAAUUCUUAUCAUUUUGAAAUUCUUAAUAUUUUUAACAUGGUUUAGCAUGGCAACAUUGUAUCGUCGCGAUCCACCGUCCUUAAAUACUUCUUCGGAAAUGAAAGAAAAAAUAACAAAUUGGUACGAGAGCGCGGGAGCUGAGCUGAAAAUUGGAUGACUGUGUCAUGAAAAUAUUAUCUAAUAAAGCAAUUAUUAAGAGUGUUGACCACAUGACCAGCAUGAAUUUUGUUGUUUCACUCAAAAUACAAUUGCCAUCUUCUUUUCAACGCCUCUUCGUCAUGCUCCUAUGUUAUCAUUCAGUGACGACUUUAGAAAUUUUAUGGGUCAUAUUGAUUCAAUUGGUCUAUCAUUUUUAGCAUUUUGAGAUACAAACACUUAAUUAAUUCAACUGUCAAAUCCAUCGUUCAACCAUCUUUCUGCCAGCAUCAAUCAUAAUUGUUAAUCGUAUAUCUCGUGUAUAAAGGAAAAACUUUUUCGAUCGAAUCGGCGAAGUUCCAAAGUACAAACCAUGGUUUUCAUAAGGACCCUGUGGAUCAUUCUGAUGGUAUUUUUCGUCGCUGUUCACGGUCAACCAUCGAUAAAAUGCACCGGUGAGCCUGAGGAUGAUUGCAUCACCAAAAGUGUCCGAGAAUACUGCAACACCGUGUUGUAAUGAUCGCUGGAAAUUAAUAUGCAAUUACGAGUUGAAUUUUAUCAGCAGACGCGAGUCAUUGGAUUGAACGAAUUGAUCGGAAACCUGAAAACUUGCUAAAAAUCAUUGUUUAUGACACAUCCAACUGUUUCCAAGGCCCUCAAUUUGCGAAUGAAUCAUUAUUUUUCAACAGACGGAACGUCAAUGUCUCAUCUACAAGCUCACCUCGGGACUAGAAACAUUAUUGGACGAAGAAAUGCAGUGAACGAUGGAAACGAAUGGGGACAAAAUCAAUUAAUAUUUUGGAAAAUUUGAACGAAUGGAUCCUGGAAUAAUUAAAACUAUUUUUAAAAAAUAAAUCAAAAUUCUCGCUUGUUUCUUAUUUUAAAUUCUUCUUUCCCCUUAAACUUCGAGUUUGAAAUUAAUCUCACCCCGAUCGGUUCGAAUCCGUAUCAUAAUUGGGGCCCAGUUUUGCUCGAGUCGGCGAUUAGAAAAUUUAUAUACCCGAUGCAAUAACUGACGCAACGAUAACACAGAAAAAAAAAGAUAUGGUUUAGUCCUAUCUAUGAGCACUAUCGAUUAAUUUCGAACUGGAUAAGCUUUGACGGACUUUGAGACAUCAUAAAUCAUGUAUCACAUUGAAGUAGAGUUUAAUAAAAGUGAAAUGGUUCAUGAGUCGGUUCAUAGGACGAAACGUCGGCGACAUAAGAAAAAGCAUCGAAGACUCGAAGAGGCCGGGGUGUUGGGUUGUUUUGGAUGAGGUGUUGAAUGAUAAAAGUAGACAGUGAAAAAAAAUAGUGCGGAUGGAAAGAAAAUUAGUCUGAUAAUUACGAAAUGCAUUUUCACGUGUUUCCAAUU
rnacentral:misc_RNA from 1 species